ACCACUGUGGUGCUCAGGUAGAGCUCCCCCCCGUGCCUCAACCUCCCCCAAUCCAUCAGAUUAGACUGAAGUUUCCUGUUUUAAUUUGAGGAAGUGGCAGAGUAAACGUUUGCGGGCAGUUCCUCUUUCAGGCCACAUUUAAACAUUCUUCCGCACUUGGCUCUCGUUCAUUUGCACGAAGACGGAGGCGUAGCAGUUUCACAGCCAUGCAGUCGUCCACAGCGAUGUUGCGGAACAGAUAAGCCAUGGACUCUCCGUUGUGGAUGCGGCGGAUGGCCUCGGCUAGGAUCAUACUGACAUCCACGGUUUUGAUUUUUGGACACUGCAGCUUCUGAACCUCAUGAGGAACAGUGUUGGUCACCACCACCUGGAGGCGCAACACAACUAGAAUCAGUUUCAGGUCUCAAGAUGAAAGAGGCAGAUUUUUUAAACCAGCAAAGGAUCUUCGUCUGUACUCCACUUUCUGAAAAUGUAUACAUCUUUAAGUCAUGAGCAUUUGAUUGGUGGAGCUGUGUGAGGUGAAACACAGGAACAUGAGAAAAGGUGCAGGACAAAUUCUGUAUUAAAUGUUAUCAAAUAAAUAAACAUAUAUACCUCAAACUAAGAACCGUAAAGAUUUAAUAAGUGAAGAGGUCACGCUUUACCCAAUAAAGCCAGUUUUCAUACUGCAUCUUACCACCUACAGUGAAUGAUGGAAAUGUGUUAUACUUAUUAUUCAUAAUUAAAGAUUGCCAAAGGCCAAUGCAAAUGUAAACAGGAUGUCACAGAGUUCCGGUGUCAUCAGGAGAAAAAACACUUGAUUGUGUCAUGUGCAGUGUUUUUUUAGGUCAUGGAUCCAAACUCUCUCAAGCUCUGUGCCUCCCUGAAACAUAGAUAUAUGCUUGAAGAUAAUCUAUAAAACAAGUGCUUGUAUAAAAUAAAUUCGGAAGGAUACAUCACAAAAA